UACGUAGGGGGCAAGCGUUGUCCGGAAUUAUUGGGCGUAAAGAGCGCGUAGGCGGUCCGGUAAGUCGGUUGUGAAAGUCGGGGGCUCAACCCUCGGAUGCCGAUCGAUACUGUCGGGCUAGAGUCCGGAAGAGGCGAGUGGAAUUCCUGGUGUAGCGGUGAAAUGCGCAGAUAUCAGGAGGAACACCAAUGGCGAAGGCAGCUCGCUGGGACGGUACUGACGCUGAGAGACGAAAGCUAGGGGAGCAAAUGGG
rnacentral:rRNA from 1 species